rnacentral:tRNA from 1 species
GCCGAAGUGGUGGAAUUGGUAGACACGCAGGACUCAGAAUCCUGUGGGCGCAAGCCUGUGGGAGUUCAAGUCUCCCCUUCGGCACCA